AUUGAACGCUGGCGGCAGGCCUAACACAUGCAAGUCGAGCGAGCGGCGGACGGGUGAGUAAUGUAUGGGGACUGCCCGGUAGCGGGGGAUAACUACUGGAAACGGUGGCUAAUACCGCAUACUAUCGGAUAACCCAUAUGGGAUUAGCUAGUUGGUGAGGUAAUGGCUCACAAAGGCGACGAUCCCUAGCUGGUCUGAGAGGAUGAUCGGCCACACUGGUACUGAGACACGGCCCAGACGCCUACGGAGGCAGCAGUGGGGAAUAUUGCACAAUGGGCGAAAGCCGGAUGCAGCCAUGCCGCGUGUAUGAAGAAGGCCCUAGGGUUGUAAAGUACUUUCAGUCGGGAGGCGUUACCGACAGAAGAAGCACCGGCUAACUCCGUGCCAGCAGCCGCGGUAAUUC
rnacentral:rRNA from 1 species